GAUGAACGCUGGCGGCGUGCCUAAUACAUGCAAGUCGAGCGAACGGACGAGAAGCUUGCUUCUCUGAUGUUAGCGGCGGACGGGUGAGUAACACGUGGAUAACCUACCUAUAAGACUGGGAUAACUUCGGGAAACCGGAGCUAAUACCGGAUAAUAUAUUGAACCGCAUGGUUCAAAAGUGAAAGACGGUCUUGCUGUCACUUAUAGAUGGAUCCGCGCUGCAUUAGCUAGUUGGUAAGGUAACGGCUUACCAAGGCAACGAUGCAUAGCCGACCUGAGAGGGUGAUCGGCCACACUGGAACUGAGACACGGUCCAGACUCCUACGGGAGGCAGCAGUAGGGAAUCUUCCGCAAUGGGCGAAAGCCUGACGGAGCAACGCCGCGUGAGUGAUGAAGGUCUUCGGACCGUAAAACUCUGUUAUUAGGGAAGAACAUAUGUGUAAGUAACUGUGCACAUCUUGACGGUACCUAAUCAGAAAGCCACGGCUAACUACGUG
rnacentral:rRNA from 1 species